GAGAAUUAAGAGGGAGAGAGAUAAUUCCAUAAAAAGAAUUCCAGAAAAAGAACUAUAUUCAUUACUCAAUUCAUGAUUUUCUAUUAUAUUUUGCAAUAUCUAUUUAUAGUAAAUCAAUUACUAAUGAAACUAUCCUAAUUGGGCCUUGGCCUAUAUUUUACUCAUUACACAAUAAUCAUGAAAUUCUUGUUAAACUCCUUCUGUGUUGUCCUUCCCUGCCACUUUGGAUAAAAGAAGGCAUGGGUUUGAUAUGAAGAAAUGUCUGCAUGAUGUUCAUAUUGAUGUACUCUUGUGAUUUGAUAUGCCAAAAUCUUAUUUGCUCAAUACCCUUUGAUGCAGGGAAGUGGAAGAUUUCGCCCGCAUAUUAAAUUCUGACUGGCCAGAGAGGAUGCAGGAACUGUUGUCAUUGGGGCAAGAAAGAAAAGCAAUGCCUUUUACAUCCAAUGGAAACAGUUUUUUAAGACGAAAUGCUUAGGACUUGACCUCAUGAUACUGUCACACAAACAAGAAGGAAUCAGCGGAAAAUGGAUCCUUACAAGCCCCCACACAAAUGGCCUGUGGCUUGAACAAUUUUGAGAGGUGCUGACAAGCCUUAGGAAAGUGCUACAUGUCAGUUAUUUAUUUGUUUUUCUAAUUCACUGUUCAAUUUUAUUCAUUAUUGGUCCUUGGCCCCAGGCACAAUUUGAUGCUGGAGGCUGCCUCUUGUGCCAAUAGAAAAUAAAUAGUAGGAUGGGCUUGUAUGUAAUAAUGUUGUAUCUUUGUGCAUUGAUUGCUUGAGUUUUGAAAGAAGUUUCUUACUCUGAUCCAUUUCUGUGUUGACAAAUUGUUAAAAAUUGGGUUGUGAUCAUAUAUUCAUUUUUGUACUCCUAA